rnacentral:rRNA from 1 species
GUGGGGAAUCUUGCGCAAUGGGCGAAAGCCUGACGCAGCCAUGCCGCGUGAAUGAUGAAGGUCUUAGGAUUGUAAAAUUCUUUCACCGGGGACGAUAAUGACGGUACCCGGAGAAGAAGCCCCGGCUAACUUCGUGCCAGCAGCCGCGGUAAUACGAAGGGGGCUAGCGUUGCUCGGAAUUACUGGGCGUAAAGGGCGCGUAGGCGGACAGUUUAGUCAGAGGUGAAAGCCCAGGGCUCAACCUUGGAAUUGCCUUUGAUACUGGCUGUCUUGAGUACGGAAGAGGUGAGUGGAACUCCGGGUGUAGAGGUGAAAGUCGUAGAUAUUCGGAAGAACACCAGUGGCGAAGGCGACUCACUGGCCCGUUACUGACGCUGAGGCGCGAAAGCGUGGGGAGCAAACAGGAUUAGAUACCCUAGUAGUCC